rnacentral:rRNA from 1 species
CCUAGGUGGGAUUAGCUAGUUGGUGAGGUAAGGGCUCACCAAGGCGACGAUCCCUAGCUGGUCUGAGAGGAUGAUCAGCCACACUGGAACUGAGACACGGUCCAGACUCCUACGGGAGGCAGCAGUGGGGAAUAUUGCACAAUGGGCGCAAGCCUGAUGCAGCCAUGCCGCGUGUGUGAAGAAGGCCUUCGGGUUGUAAAGCACUUUCAGUCGUGAGGAAGGUAGUGUAGUUAAUAGCUGCAUUAUUUGACGUUAGCGACAGAAGAAGCACCGGCUAACUCCGUGCCAGCAGCCGCGGUAAUACGGAGGGUGCGAGCGUUAAUCGGAAUUACUGGGCGUAAAGCGCAUGCAGGUGGUUUGUUAAGUCAGAUGUGAAAGCCCGGGGCUCAACCUCGGAAUAGCAUUUGAAACUGGCAGACUAGAGUACUGUAGAGGGGGGUAGAAUUUCAGGUGUAGCGGUGAAAUGCGUAGAGAUCUGAAGGAAUACCGGUGGCGAAGGCGGCCCCCUGGACAGAUACUGACACUCAGAUGCGAAAGCGUGGGGAGCAAACAGGAUUAGAUACCCUGGUAGUCCACGCCGUAAACGAUGUCUACUUGGAGGUUGUGGCCUUGAGCCGUGGCUUUCGGAGCUAACGCGUUAAGUAGACCGCCUGGGGAGUACGGUCGCAAGAUUAAAACUCAAAUGAAUUGACGGGGGCCCGCACAAGCGGUGGAGCAUGUGGUUUAAUUCGAUGCAACGCGAAGAACCUUACCUACUCUUGACAUCCAGAGAACUUUCCAGAGAUGGAUUGGUGCCUUCGGGAACUCUGAGACAGGUGC